rnacentral:RNase_P_RNA from 1 species
GUGGGUGAUUGCGUGUGGCUUAUGCUGCAUGAGGAAAGUCCAUGCUCGCACUAACUGUGAUGUUAGUAGUGUUCGCGCUAGCUGAAAAAAUAAGGCUAGGCAUUCAAUGAUUUGAAUGAUGGCCAGCCAAAGAUCUAAGGAUUUUAUCUAUGAUUUAGUAAGCUGCUAAGGUGCCACAGUGACGAACCAUCAAAGAAAUGCGAUGGAUGGAACGCGGUAAACCCCACGAGCGGGCAACCCAAACUUUGGUAGGGGCGCUUGACCUAGCGAAAAGAAGUGAUGGUCGGGGAAACAGAAAUGUUUGAGAUAGAUGAUUACCACCAAAUAAAGAUUGCCAAUUUUUAUUUGGAACAAAACAUGGCUUAUAG